GUGCCGAAGCAAACGCAAUAAGUAUCCCGCCUGGGGAGUACGUUCGCAAGAAUAAAACUCAAAGGAAUUGACGGGGACCCGCACAAGUGGUGGAGCAUGUGGUUUAAUUCGAUGCAACGCGAAGAACCUUACCAGGGUUUGACAUCCUGCGAAUCUCCUGGAAACGGGAGAGUGCCUUCGGGAACGCAGUGACAGGUGGUGCAUGGCUGUCGUCAGCUCGUGUCGUGAGAUGUUGGGUUAAGUCCCGCAACGAGCGCAACCCACGUCUUUAGUUGCCAGCAUUCAGUUGGGCACUCUAGAGAGACCGCCGGUGAUAAACCGGAGGAAGGUGUGGAUGACGUCAAGUCAUCAUGCCCCUUACAUCCUGGGCUACACACGUACUACAAUGCUACGGACAAAGGGCAGCAAACUCGCGAGAGCUAGCAAAUCCCAUAAACCGUGGCUCAGUUCAGAUCGUAGGCUGCAACUCGCCUACGUGAAGGAGGAAUCGCUAGUAAUCGCAGGUCAGCAUACUGCGGUGAAUACGUUCCCGGGCCUUGUACACACCGCCCGUCACACCAUGGAAGUUGGCCACGCCCGAAGCCGUUACUCCAACCCUUGUGGAGGAGGACGUCGAAGGUGGGGCUGAUGACUGGGGUGAAGUCGUAACAAGGUAACCAAGGGCGAA
rnacentral:rRNA from 1 species